rnacentral:rRNA from 1 species
GAUGAACGCUGGCGGCGUGCCUAAUACAUGCAAGUCGAACGCUGGAGCUCUAGCUUGCUAGCUCGAAGGAGUGGCGAACGGGUGAGUAAUACAUAAGCAACCUACCCACGAAGACUGGGAUAAUCUCUGGAAACGGGGACUAAUACCGGAUAGGUAAUCGGAAGGCAUCUUCUGGUUAUUAAAGGUUAAAAACACUGGUGGAUGGGCUUAUGGCGCAUUAGUUAGUUGGUGAGGUAACGGCCCACCAAGACGAUGAUGCGUAGCCGGCCUGAGAGGGUGAACGGCCACAUUGGGACUGAGACACGGCCCAGACUCCUACGGGAGGCAGCAGUAGGGAAUUGUCGGCAAUGGGGGCAACCCUGACCGAGCAACGCCGCGUGAGUGAAGACGGCCUUCGGGUUGUAAAGCUCUGUUGUAAGGGAAGAACGGUAGAUAGAGAAUAUCUAAGUGACGGUACCUUACCAGAAAGCCACGGCUAACUACGUG